UACGUAGGGGCCUAGCGUUGUCCGGAAUUAUUGGGCGUAAAGAGCUCGUAGGCGGUUCGGCAAGUCGGAUGUGAAAUCUCCACGCUUAACGUGGAGGGGCCAUUCGAAACUGCUGUGACUCGAGUCCGGUAGGGGAGUGUGGAAUUCCCGGUGUAGCGGUGAAAUGCGUAGAGAUCGGGAGGAAGGCCGGUGGCGAAGGCGGCGCUCUGGACGGUUACUGACGCUAAGACGCGAAAGCGUGGGGAGCAAACAGG
rnacentral:rRNA from 1 species